rnacentral:rRNA from 1 species
GAGUUUGAUCCUGGCUCAGAUUGAACGCUGGCGGAAUGCUUUACACAUGCAAGUCGAGCGGCAGCGCGGGGCAACCUGGCGGCGAGCGGCGAACGGGUGAGUAACAUAUCGGAACGUAUCCUUAAGUGGGGGACAACCUAGCGAAAGUUAGGCUAAUACCGCAUACGCAGGGAACUGGAAAGUGGGGGAUCGCAAGACCUCACGCUUUUGGAGCGGCCGAUAUCAGAUUAGCUUGUUGGUGAGGUAAAGGCUCACCAAGGCUACGAUCUGUAGCUGGUCUGAGAGGAUGAUCAGCCACACUGGGACUGAGACACGGCCC